CACACCCCCACCCAUCGCCCCCAAACCAGUCCUGCGCCUGCGCCGGCGCCGGUGGCGAGAUCCAGCGCACCCCUUCCGCGCAGAGCGCACCCGGGCGCGGCUUGGAUCCCAGGCGGUACGCCCUCCCGCGCACUCGAGCGGCGGCGGGAUCCCAGGCGGCGCGCCCUCCCACACCCUCGAGCAUGGACGGCGACGAUGCCCGUGGUUUGCACCAGCCGCUGUUCUCCAUUGAGUUCCCGUUCUUCGCCGCCACCAGGUGGGGAUGGAGACGCCGCUCACGAGAUGGACGCCGACGGUGGGGAGCUCCGCCUCGCUCCCUUCGGCGACAGCUGCGCGCUCGUCUCCGUCCUCUUCAGCAGCCUCGGCAUGGCCUUCAGGUUCGCCAAGAUCGAGUACGUCACCAAGGUGAGCGCAGACACCGCUGUGGACUAGCUCUUUGUACUCCAAAAAAUUGAUUCUUAUUGUGCCCCUCUCAGUUUGGAUCUCACCGUGGGGAAAACAGUCGCAUUUUUUUCUAUGUUCUGCAUCUUUGUGUGGUGGUGGUGUUUUUAUGCAUUUUCUGUUCAGCUACUCAGUGUACUUCCAUGCCAACACAUCAUACUUCCUAUGAACUGAACAUGCAUGCUAUUUUUUCGCCCUUUUUGUAUGGUUCUAUGCUUAAACCCACAGCUUUCAUGACUUCUGAUAUGAGGCAGCGUAGAUAGUUAUUUCAAAUUUCAAACUUUAGGGAUAAAAGAAAAUAGCUUAAACACUUUUUGUGAUUGUGUUAGUGGUUUUCUAUGACUGUCCUAACGGGAUUCUAUGUCUCUUGGCUAGUGGAGCAGAGCCUCGUCAAUCUCGGCAACUGGCGCUCACAUAGAUUUCUAUUACAUUUCUUGAAACCCAUCUGGGGAGUGUAGAAUUUCUUUUUAUGUUCAUGUAUAGAAACCCCAUCUGGAAAGCAUAGAAUUUGCUGGUAUGUUCAUCUAUAGAAACACCAUCACUUUGGCCUAUUUUUUUAAAAUCAUAUAUACGUUUGUGUUUGUGCAUAGAUACUAUUAGUUGACUAUGUGCCCAUGCUUGCAAUAAUAUACAUGCUAGUGUCUGAACAUAGAUACUAUCUGCUUCUAUGCAUAAAUCAUAGUAUCAUACACAUGCUACCCAUGUUUUUAUGAUUGCCCUCACCGGCUUUUACGCCUUUUGUUAUCGAGGUGGAUCCAAUUGAUGACAGCUCCCACAAUGCGUCAUAUAUUUGUCUAGUACUUUCCUCUCUUGUUUAUAUGAUCGUCCUCACUGGUUUAUAUAUCUGCCAAUACUCCCAACACUAUUUAUAUGUAUGGUAGUUUUCCAUCAUAUACAAGUAGCUGCAUAUAUAUGUAUGACUGCAAUCAUAUAUUUGUUAAGGUGAUUUUCCUUUCUGAUUAUAUUCAUCUACUCAUGAGAUUUCUAUGUUAACAUAGCACCCUUUCUACACAGGCUGUAGGGAAUGGGAAUGUAUUUUCAGGCCUAGCUCUGCUAUUCGGUCGCAGUAGAUUUGGACAGGUUUAUUUAUGAACAGAAAUAGGAUGGUUCUUUAUGAUCACAUUCCAUUUUUGGUACUCCGUUAGAGCAUCCAUUCCUAUCGAAUGCAUGCUUCUAUGCUUGGCCUUACCGGUUUCUAUGCAUUCCUAUCUUAUGUUUCUAUGAUUGCCCUCACUGGUUUUUAUACCUUUUGUUGCUUCAUGUAGUUGCUUAGAGCAUCUCCAAGAGACUCUGUAAAAGAUUCUAGGUAGGUAAAUUUUUUAGAAAAUCUCCUAAAAUUGUCAUCCAAUAGACUCUUCAUCUCCAUCCGCUCGGUAUCUAGCCCGGCAAAGUCCACCCUCCGCUCGGAAUCUUCGCUGAGCCAGCCCCGUUCGGUAUCUCGCGCUCAAGCCCGCUUCCGGCUCCCGCGGGGCCAAAUCGUUGAGUCCGUCGUCAUUGAGGCCACCGUCGAGUCCGCCGUCGUCGAGGCCACAGUCCAGCCCGCCGUCGUUGAGGUGGCACGAGAUCCCGGGGGGCUCCAUCUCCCGGCGCAGUGCGGCGCGGGCUCCCGGCGAAGGCCGUGCGCCGGCUCCAUGGCGGAGGCCGCCUUGGUCUCCCGGUGGAGGACGGCGCGGGCUCCGCGGCAGGGGGCGAAUCGGCGGUGGCCGCUACGCUGGAGGCGGUAGCGGGUCAAAUCGGCGGGGGGGGGGGGGGGCAAUCGGUUGCGGCGGGGUCCAAUCGACGCCGGCGGCGGCGCUAGAGGCAUCGGCGGCGGCGAGGGUGGCGCUGGAGGCGGAGACGAGAGGCUGUGGUGUGCUUCCGUGCUUCUGCCAUGGAUGGGGGAGCAGAAGGAGGGGUGCGGUCGGCAGAUGGUGUUGUGAGGCCCGCAUGACAAUGACUCGGAGGGAGGAGAGUUUGAUAUGAAGUGGAAAAUUUUACUAGUCUGUUGGUUCCUUCACUCCUUGAAUAGCUAAAUGGUAAGCGAAAUGACUAGCAAAAAGAAAUUUAGCUAGCGUAAUUUAACUAGUUUUUUGGAGAUGCUCUUAGAUGUAUGUGAUUGCAAUCAUAUAUUUGUUUCUAUGACUGCACUCACUGAAUUUUAUGCCUUUUUUUUUUAUUGUGAGGUGUGUUGCUGACGAGGAUCUGCCGACGACUCCCUCAGCUGCAAGCUAGCAUCAUAGUCCUCACCAACGAAAUGCAAGCAUCUUUGAUUUUGUAUAGCUGGCAUGUUACUGUGAUUUCUAUGAGCCAAUUAUGUUCAAAAUUCAAAUUUUCCCAGCCCUACCUGUUAUAUGCAAUUCUAUGGGUGUAUCCCUCUAUGACCUGUAUUGUUGCCUUCUAUGACAUGUAUCUCUGUCUUCUAUGACACUGUAUUGAGUACAAAAUGAUGUGCAUCGCUGCUUUCUAUGACCUGUAUGGCGGUCUCAUAUGACUCCACAUAGCUUCAACGUAUGUAUUUCUGCGCCAGUUUGAUUCAAAUUCGAAUGUAUAAGAACCUUAAAAGCUAUUAUAUGUAAAGUCUAUGAUAUCUACUGGAAUUUC